UACAGAGGUCUCAAGCGUUGUUCGGAUUCAUUGGGCGUAAAGGGUGCGUAGGUGGCGCGCUAAGUCAGGUGUGAAAUCUCGGAGCUUAACUCCGAAACUGCAUUUGAUACUGGCGUGCUUGAGGACUGGAGAGGAGACUGGAAUUCACGGUGUAGCAGUGAAAUGCGUAGAUAUCGUGAGGAAGACCAGUGGCGAAGGCGGGUCUCUGGACAGUUCCUGACGCUGAGGCACGAAGGUCAGGGGAGCAAACGGGG
rnacentral:rRNA from 1 species